rnacentral:rRNA from 1 species
AUUGAACGCUGGCGGCAUGCCUUACACAUGCAAGUCGAACGGUAACAGGUCUUCGGGUGCUGACGAGUGGCGAACGGGUGAGUAAUACAUCGGAACGUGCCUAGUAGUGGGGGAUAACUACUCGAAAGAGUGGCUAAUACCGCAUGAGAUCUACGGAUGAAAGCAGGGGAUCGCAAGAACUUGUGCUACUAGAGCGGCCGAUGGCAGAUUAGGUAGUUGGUGGGAUAAAAGCUUACCAAGCCGACGAUCUGUAGCUGGUCUGAGAGGACGAUCAGCCACACUGGGACUGGGACACGGCCCAGACUCCUACGGGAGGCAGCAGUGGGGAAUUUUGGACAAUGGGCGCAAGCCUGAUCCAGCAAUGCCGCGUGCAGGAUGAAGGCCUUCGGGUUGUAAACUGCUUUUGUACGGAACGAAAAGCCCCGGGUUAAUACCCUGGGGUCAUGACGGUACCGUAAGAAUAAGCACCGGCUAACUUCGUGCCAGCAGCCGCCGUAA